rnacentral:rRNA from 1 species
UCAUCGAGUUGUUGAACGCAUUGCACCGCGCCCUAAACCGGCUGCGGUAUGCCCCUUUGAGCGUCAUUGCAUACCUUCGGGAGUCUUUUUCACAAAAGACCCGAGUUCGGAGUCCUCGGUCCUUUGGGAUCGUGUUCUCUCAGAUGCAUCGCGCCGAUCGCCUGAUGGGUACUCUAAUGCCUGAGCGUGGAGUCCCUCGGAGUCGAGAUGCGCUGGACCGGGUGUCGAAGCCCGCGUCUCCAAGUCCAAGACGGCAGACCUGCCUCUCGGUACUACAACCACAUGACCUCAUUGGGGUAGGACAACCCGCUAGACUUAAGCAUAUUAAUCAGCGGAGGAAAAGAAACUAACCAGGAUUCCCUCAGUAACUGCGAGUGAAGCGGGAUCGGCUCAAUGUGUGAAUCUGGCUCGGGGUACAUCCUGGGUUCGAGUUGUGCACUAUGGACGUUUCGUCUGCGUUUGUAAAGGCGGUGGAAGUCCGUUGAAACACGGCACCUCAGAGGGUCAUAGUCCUGUACCACCUGUCUGCACUCGCGCCAAUGACAAGCGCUCCUCGAGUCGCGUAGUUUUGUAUUGCUGCGCCAAGUGGGAGGUAGAGACCUUCUAAGGCUAAAUAUGAUGACGUGACCGAUAGCACACAAGUACCGCGAGGGAAAGGUGAAAAGCAACCAUGAAAAAUGGGUUGAAACAGUAGUGAAAUCGCUACCGGGAUAAGGGCUAUCG